GAAAAAGAAAUGCUAAGAACUGCUAACUCUUAUUGCUCCAUAUAUAAAAAUAUGGCUUUUUU
rnacentral:tRNA from 2 species